rnacentral:rRNA from 1 species
GACGAACGCUGGCGGCGUGCUUAACACAUGCAAGUCGAACGAGUGGGAACGGGUGAGUAACACGUGGGUAACCUCCCAUCAGAGGGGAUAACACUUGGAAACAGGUGCUAAAACGAUACUGAUGGAUGGACCCGCGGUGCAUUAGGUAGUUGGUGAGGUACCGGCUCACCAAGGCCACGAUGCAUAGCCGACCUGAGAGCGGGAUCGGUCACACUGGAACUGGGACAAGGCCCAGACGCCUACGGGAGGCAGCGGUAGGGAAGCGGCGGCAAUGGGGGGAACCCUGACGAGCAACGCCGGGGGAGUGAAGAAGGUUUUGGGAGCUUAAAGCUCUGUUGUUAAGGAAGCGGUACUUAACCAGAAAGGGACGGCUAACUACGUGCCAGCAGCCGCGGUAAUUC